CCGGAUGGACCCCUAGUCCCUGCCUCCCUCUUCGUGUACCCAGUGCCCAUUGGCCGACUGUUGGGGGCCGGCACGAUGAUUGCAGGACGGAGUUCAGGCGGCAGAAAAAGAAAUCUCAAAUAUGGAAAGGAGGAAAACUGGAACACUGAGGUGAUAUACUGGAAUUGGAGAGCUACACCUGAACUCGUGAUUUGCAAUAUAUAGGUUGACAGGAAACAGACUAACACAAUGCCUAUGGCAAUACUAUGAGGUAGAGUUAUAGAGAGAAACAGAGAGAAAGGUCUUCCUUCUGUUGGUUCACUCCCCAAAUGGCCGCUACAGCCAUUGCACCACACCGAUCCGAAGCCAGGAGCCAGGUGCUUCUUCCUUGUCUCCCACCGCAGGUGCACCUGGGCCAUCCUCCACUGCCCUCCCGGGCCACAGCAGAGAGCUGGACUGCAAGAGGAGCAACCGGGACUAGAACCCGGUGCCCAUAUGGGAUGCCGGCGCUGCAGA